rfam:Nematostella vectensis strain CH2 x CH6 NEMVEscaffold_39_Cont6448, whole genome shotgun sequence.
GCCCCUGUGGCGCAAUGGACUAGCGUGUUGGAAUUCUAAUUCAAAGGUUGUGGGUUCGAGUCUCACCAGGGGUG